rnacentral:rRNA from 1 species
GGCGGACGGGUGAGUAACACGUGGGCAAUCUGCCUGUUAGACUGGAAUAACGCCUGGAAACGGGUGCUAAUGCCGGAUAGACAUUUUGGAGGCAUCUCUAAGAUGGGAAGGGUGCUUCGGCACUACUAAUAGAGGAGCCCGCGGCGCAUUAGCUAGUUGGUGGGGUAAUGGCCUACCAAGGCGACGAUGCGUAGCCGACCUGAGAGGGUGACCGGCCACACUGGGACUGAGACACGGCCCAGACUCCUACGGGAGGCAGCAGUAGGGAAUCUUCCACAAUGGACGAAAGUCUGAUGGAGCAAUGCCGCGUGAGCGAAGAAGGUUUUCGGAUCGUAAAGCUCUGUUGUAAGGGAAGAACACGUACGGGAGUAACUGCCCGUACCUUGACGGCACCUUAUUAGAAAGCCACGGCUAACUACGUGCCAGCAGCCGCGGUAAUACGUAGGUGGCAAGCGUUGUCCGGAAUUAUUGGGCGUAAAGCGCGCGCAGGCGGUCCUUUAAGUCUGAUGUGAAAGCCCACGGCUCAACCGUGGAGGGUCAUUGGAAACUGGGGGACUUGAGUACAGAAGAGGAAAGCGGAAUUCCACGUGUAGCGGUGAAAUGCGUAGAGAUGUGGAGGAACACCAGUGGCGAAGGCGGCU